rnacentral:lncRNA from 1 species
GUGAUUAAUCGUUUGACAGCACUAGAUUAUAUUGUUCAAAAGUUUUGGGUCACUAACAAUUUUUUUUUUUGUGUUUGAAUGAAAUUAAUACUUUUAUUCAGCAAAGCUGUAUUAAAUUGAUCGUAAGUGCAUAUAAAGACAUUUAUAACAUACAAAAGUACAUAAUGUUCAAAUAAAUUCAACUUUAAAUUCAUCAAAAAAUCCUGAAAAAAAUUGAUUAGUUCCCACAAAAAUAUUAUGCAGCACAGAUGUUUUAAGUAUUAAUAAUAAUAUUAAUUUUUACUGUAUUUUAGAUCAAAUAAAUGCAGCCUUGGUGAGCAUAAAAGACUUUCAAAAACAUUUACAAAUAUUAUCAACCCAAGCUUGUGAACUGAUUGUGUAGUCAAUCUAUUAUCCUAAAUAUGAGCAAUAGUAAUCAUAAUGAUGAAAACUGAUUCAUGGAUUCACAGUCCACACUUGGAAGGGCACACCAGAAGGAAAAAAACCCAUCCAUCAAGUCCUGCAUGCAUUCCUGCAACUGGAGGGCAAAACUUACAAGGAACGACAAAUCUGAUGAUUCAUCAGUAAACGGAAGCUGGCUGUGGAAAAUGAGCGGAAUGGACCACUGAACAUGACAAUGCCAUAUUAGCCAAAGAGGUACGGAAGCUGCUGGGUAAGUUUGGCUCCACCAGGAGUGGCGGUCACAUGGGAUUCCCCUUCCCCUGCUAUGAUGUUCAGUUCCUGGAUGUUCUGCAGGACCAGGUCAUAGUUCAUUUCAAAAGUCUUGCAUGCAUUACUUGCUCCAGGAAGUUGGCCUGCUCAUCAUGUUCUUUGCAACUUCCAACCCAGAUCAUUCCAUAAUUAUUCAGAAACUUCUGUGUGGGUGGGAAAAUGCCAUUUUGUUGAGUUUACAAUAACUAUUUUGGUGUAAUUAUACAGGAAUGACCUCUGUUUUGUUGUCUGCAUACCAUAACAAACAUUUAAAUAGGUAACCAGUUGAAAGAAAAUAAUCACACAAACCUGCUCAUCUCCAAGCCAGAGGCACAAUUUAACCAGUUCUUCUCGGUUCUCAUUACUUACAGAUUUAUCUAAAGCCAAAGACAAACACAUUUGUUUAGAUGAGCUUUUUGACUGCUGAACUUAAAAAGGGAUUUAAACCUAAUAAAAAAAAUGUUUUCUUUAUUGGUUCAUACUGAUCUUAUUGCUAACUCAAUAUUUCUGCAAUUUUAAUUUCUGUUCAAUAAAUAAUAAAUUACCUUUUACCUCUUGCAAAAGAUUCAGUUCCUCUUCCAGAACCGCUUUUCUUCAUGCUUUGAGCAUAAAAUGUAAGGAAAUUAAGAGCUAAUACCACGUGACACCUGAAAAAAUAAUAUCAGCCGUGCACCCGGAGACAUCUGAUUAUUAACACAGACUUUAUCCAAAGUGACUUACAAAUGAGGACAAUAGAAGCAAUCAAAAUCAACAAAAGAGCAAUGAUAUACAAGUGCUAUAACAAGUCUCAGGUAGUUUAACGCAGUACAUGUAGCAAUGUUUUUUAUUUUUAAUUAUAUAAUAAAAAGAAUGGAAUAAAAAAAGAAUAGAGCAAGCUAGUGUAAGAGGCCUUUUUUUGUUUUUGUUCAUUUUAUAAUAAAAAGAAAACAGAAUACAAAAAGAUUAGAGAAGCUUAGUUGUUUUUUUUUUUUUUUAAGUAAAACGUAGCAGUAAAUGAAUAGAGCGCAACUCUAAAAGGGUACAAAACAAUUUUUUUAAAGUAAUAGAAUUAGAAUAGAGAGUGCUAGAGUUAGAGGGUCAAAUGAAGAGAUAGGUAGUUUAACGACAGUACAUGUAGCUAAUGUUUUUUAUUUUUUAAUUAUAUAAUAAAAAGAAUAGGAAUAAAAAAAGAAAUAGAGCAAGCUAGUGUAAGAGGCCUUUUUUGUUUUUGUUCAUUUUAUAAUAAAAAGAAAACAGAAUAACAAAAGAUUAGAGAAGCUAGUGUUUUUUUUUUUUUUUUUAAGAAAACGAGCAGUAAAUGAAUAGAGCGCAACUCUAAAAGGGUCAAAACAUUUUUUUAAAGAAUAGAAUUAGAAUAGAGAGUGCUAGAGUUAGAGGGUCAAAUGAAGAGAUGUUUUUAGCCGAUUCUUGAAGAUGGUUUAGGACUCAGCUGCUCGGAUUGAGUUGGGCAGGUCAUUCCACCAGGACUUUCAUUUAAAAGUCUGUGAAAGUGAUUUUUGUAUCUCUUAAGGAUGGCUAAGUACUAGUGCGUGCCAGGCCCAGCGUUUCCACUGUCACUUCCGGGGCUUUCAGUGUUGUUAAAUUUAGCAACUUUUCAGACUACCCUAGCAACCUUUUCUUCCAAAAGCAACCUAGCAACAAAUUUGGCAAUAUUUAAAACUUAUUUGGCAACUUUUGAUGAGUGACUCAGGCAAAAAAAAAAAAAAGCACACAUUUUCCAUCCAAAUUACACAAAAAGAGGAAACCAAAGAUGCUUAGCAGUACAUACAUCACAUGAAUUAAGUUAGCUGCUAUUUGCAGUUGUUAAAUUUAAUAAUAAUAAUUUAAUAAUUGUUCAUUUAUGAUACACUUUGUUAGUAGCUUCUAGCUUGUACCUGCAAUUGUUUAUCAGUUAGUACACUGUAAGAAAAAUGGAAAAGAUACUAGUAAUUUUCCAGGACAUUAUCCACUGUAACCCUGUAACCCGAAAACACAAUGUGUAAUUUAAAAUGCAGGUAAAAAAACCAAUACGGAAAAUUCUUUCAUAUUAAAAUAGUAGACUGUGCCCUAUUCUUACAGGCUUUUCAUACUAGCUAACUACUAAUACAAUGCUUAAAAUUUUGUCAUUAAUCACUUACCCUUAUGUCAUACCAAACCCGUAAAAGCUUUGUUCAUCUUCGGGACACAAUUUAAGAUAUUUUGGAUGAAAAUCGAGAGGUUUGAGACUGUCCCAUAGACUGCCAAAAAAGUUACACUGUCAAGGUCCAGAAAAGUAUGAAAAGCAUCGUCAAAAUACUCCCAUCUGCCAUCAGUGAUUCAACCGUGACGUUAUGAAGCGACGAGAAUACUUUUUGUACACGAAGAAAACAAAAAUAACCACUUUAUUCAACAAUUCCUCUCCUCUGUGUCUCUCCAAAUCAGCAUAGCGCCAUUUU